rnacentral:rRNA from 1 species
ACACGACUACAUUAGAUACCCGGGUAGUCCUAGCCGUAAACGAUACUCGCUAGGUGUCGGCCACGGUGCGACCGUUGUCGGUGCCGUAGGGAAGCCGUGAAGCGAGCCACCUGGGAAGUACGGCCGCAAGGCUGAAACUUAAAGGAAUUGGCGGGGGAGCACCACAACGGGCGGAGCUUGCGGUUUAAUUGGAUUCAACGCCGGAAAUCUUACCGGGACCGACAGCAACAUGAAGGCCAGGCUGAAGACUUUGCCGGAUUAGCUG